rnacentral:snoRNA from 1 species
AAAGUUGAGGAUGAUGAGAUGGUUUCCUUUAUCCUCACUGGAUUGGAUUCAAAUUACAAUCCUAUAGUCACCUUGGUCACGAGCCGGGUAGAUCCAAUCUCGCUCAGCGACCUAUAUGCUCAAGUCAUGGCGUAUGAGA